AUAACUCAAAAAACCAAAGCAUUUAGAGCAAAUCUGACAGGGGUAAUAUUGUUUAUCAGGUCAAGAUCUAUCUGCCCUGAAAUUUUCAAAUGAAUCAGACAACCUGUUGUUGGGUUGCUGCCCCUGAAUUGGUAAUUUUAAGGAAAUUUUGCUGUUUUUGGUUAUUAUCUUGAAUAUUAUUAUAGAUAGAGAUAAACUGUAAACAGGAAUAAUGUUCAGCAAAGUAAGAUUUACAAAUAAGUUAACAUAACGGAAAUGGUCAGUUGACCCCUUUAGGAGUUAUUGCCCUUUAUAGUCAAUUUUUAACCAUUUUUCGUAAAUCUUAGUAAUCUUUUACAAAAAUCUUCUCCUCUGAAACUACUGGGCCAAAUACUUCCAAACUUUAACUGAAUGUUCCUUAGUGUAUCUAGUUUGUAAAUUGUAUCAGAAGUUGUGAUCUAUCAACAAACAUGGUCGCCAUUGCUAAAAAUAGAACAUAGGGGUCAAAUGCAGUUUUUGGCUUAUAACUCAAAAACCAAAGCAUUUAGAGCAAAUCUGAAAUGGGAUAAUAUUGUUUAUCAGGUCAAGAUCUAUCUGCCCUGAAAUUUUCAGAUGAAUCAGACAACCUGUUGUUGGGUUACUGCCCCUGAAUUGGUAAUUUUAAGGAAAUUUUGCUGUUUUUGGUUAUUAUCUUGAAUAUUAUUAUAGAUAGAGAUAAACUGUAAACAGCAAUAAUGUUCAGCAAAGUAAGAUUUACAAAUAAGUCAACAUGACGGAAAUGGUCAGUUGACCCCUUUAGGAGUUAUAGCCCUUUAUAGUCAAUUUUUAACCAUUUUUCGUAAAUCUUAGUAAUCUUUUACAAAAAUCUUCUCCUCUGAAACUACUGGGCCAAAUACUUCCAAACUUUAACUGAAUGUUCCUUAGGGUAUCUAGUUUGUAAAUUGUAUCCGAAGUUAUGAUCUAUCAACAAACAUGGUCGCCAUUGCUAAAAAUAGAACAUAGGGGUCAAAUGCAGUUUUUGGCUUAUAACUCAAAAACCAAAGC
rnacentral:lncRNA from 1 species